rnacentral:rRNA from 1 species
UACGGAGGGUGCAAGCGUUGUCCGGAUUUAUUGGGUUUAAAGGGUGCGUAGGCGGUUAAUUAAGUCAGUGGUGAAAUCCUGGAGCUCAACUUCAGAACUGCCAUUGAUACUGGUUGACUUGAGUACAGACGAGGUUGGCGGAAUUGAUGGUGUAGCGGUGAAAUGCAUAGAUACCAUCAAGAACACCGAUUGCGAAGGCAGCUAACUAGGCUGUAACUGACGCUGAGGCACGAAAAGUGUGGGGAUCAAACAGGG